rnacentral:rRNA from 1 species
AUUGAACGCUGGCGGCAGGCCUAACACAUGCAAGUCGAACGAGUGGCGGACGGGUGAGUAAUUUCUGGGCACCUGCCUGAUGGAGGGGGAUAACGACGGGAAACGGUAGCUACUCCCGCUUAACAUGCGAUGUGGCCUGAUGGGAUUAGCGAUUAGGUGGGGUAAAGGCUCACCUAGGCGACGCUCCCUAGCUGGUCUGAGAGGAUGACCGGCCACACGGGAACUGAGACACGGUCCAGACUCCUACGGGAGGCAGCAGUGGGGAAUAUUGGACAAUGGGCGAAAGCCUGAUGCAGCAAUGCCGCGUGUAUGAAGAAGGCCUUCGGGUUGUAAAGUUCUUUCAUUGGGGAAGCGUUACCUGAAGAGGAAGCAACGGCUAACUCCGUGCCAGCAGCCGCGGUAAUAC